rnacentral:rRNA from 1 species
CCUACGGGUGGCAGCAGUGGGGAAUAUUGCACAAUGGACGCAAGCCUGAUGCAGCCAUGCCGCGUGUGUGAAGAAGGCCUUCGGGUUGUAAAGCACUUUCAGCGGGGAGGAAGGCGGUGGGGUUAAUAACCUCAUCGAUUGACGUUACCCGCAGAAGAAGCACCGGCUAACUCCGUGCCAGCAGCCGCGGUAAUACGGAGGGUGCAAGCGUUAAUCGGAAUUACUGGGCGUAAUGCGCACGCAGGCGGUCUGUCAAGUCGGAUGUGAAAUCCCCGGGCUCAACCUGGGAACUGCAUUCGAAACUGGCAGGCUAGAGUCUUGUAGAGGGGGGUAGAAUUCCAGGUGUAGCGGUGAAAUGCGUAGAGAUCUGGAGGAAUACCGGUGGCGAAGGCGGCCCCCUGGACAAAGACUGGCGCUCAGGUGCGAAAGCGUGGGGAGCAAACAGGAUUAGAUACCCUUGUAGUC